AUUUAACGCUGGCGGCGUGCUUUACACAUGCAAGUCGAACGAGUGGCGAACGGGUGAGUAACGUAUCGGAACGUACCGAUUGAUGGGGGAUAACUAUCCGAAAGGACAGCUAAUACCGCAUAUUAUUCGAGCGGCCGAUGUCUGAUUAGCUGGUUGGGGGGGUAAAGGCCAACCAAGGCGACGAUCAGUAGCGGGUCUGAGAGGAUGAGCAGCCACACUGGGACUGAGACACGGACCAGACUCCUACGGGAGGCAGCAGUGGGGAAUAUUGGACAAUGGGCGCAAGCCUGAUCCAGCCAUGCCGCGUGUAUGAAGAAGGCCUUCGGGUUGUAAAGUACUUUCAGCGGGGAGGCGUUACCCGCAGAGGAAGCACCGGCUAACUCCGUGCCAGCAGCCGCGGUAAUUC
rnacentral:rRNA from 1 species